CCUACGGGUGGCAGCAGUGAGGAAUAUUGGUCAAUGGACGCAAGUCUGAACCAGCCAUGCCGCGUGCAGGAAGACGGCCCUAUGAGUUGUAAACUGCUUUUGUACGAGGGUAAACGCAGAUACGCGUACCUGUCUGAAAGUAUCGUACGAAUAAGGAUCGGCUAACUCCGUGCCAGCAGCCGCGGUAAUACGGAGGAUUCAAGCGUUAUCCGGAUUUAUUGGGUUUAAAGGGUGCGUAGGUGGUCGGUUAAGUUAGAGGUGAAAGCCCGCGGCUCAACUUCGGAAUUGCCUUUGAUACUGUCCGGCUAGAGAGUAGUUGAGGUAGGCGGAAUGCGUGGUGUAGCGGUGAAAUGCUUAGAGAUCAUGCAGAACACCGAUUGCGAAGGCAGCUUACCAAGCUGCUUCUGACGUUGAGGCUCGAAAGCGUGGGGAGCAAACAGGAUUAGAUACCCUUGUAGUC
rnacentral:rRNA from 1 species